GGCGUGGCCACGAGGGGCGGGGCCGAGCUCGAGCUGUCCAGUGCCAGGGCAACUCCGGGCCACAACCGUCUCAGUCCAACAGUCCCCGGGAACCAGAGGUCGUUGACGGCGGCCGUGCAGCUCGGAACCGCGCUGUCUGCCGGCCAUGGGGCCCACACUCGUCCUGCUGCUGCUGCUGCUGCUGCUCCCGGCCACGCAGGCCGCUCCGCUGCUGGAAGCCGCCUCGCGGGACAGCCUCCCAGACGUCCUGCCAGGAGCCUCGGCCGGCGACGACCAAGAGCUGCCGGCUGACCCACACCCAGCCCCGGGCUCGGGCUGUCCCCCAACUCCUCCUGAAACUGCGGCAUGAUGCCAUCCAGGAAGGGCCUGUGGCCCCCGUGGACGGGCCACAGAGCCUUGUCCCCAGGCCGGCCGCCUGGGUCUCCACAUCACCGGCUCCCAAGACCUGCUUCCCGUCCCUUCCCUGGCCAACCGCUGCAGCGGGGCCUCGGGGUGGACACCACCACCCUGCCAGAGGACCAGCCCACCUUCGCCGCACCCCAGCCUCGCCCUCUUUGGAAAUAAAAGUUAUUUCUUAGA